CUGAAAAAAAAAAAAAAAAAAAAAAAUCUCUUCUGAUGUCGAAGGCUAAAAGGCUACAGCUAGCUACGGACAGCUAACGUUAAACGCCAGAUAGAAAAGUAAGAUUUGGCGCAGAUGAAGCGAACGAACCGACCAGCUGAAUUAGGAGGUGAAACAAAGGCUUUUCCCAGCUUUGUUUACCCGCUGCCAGCUGCGCGCGAGCUGGUGAAAACGCAGCUACCGUCGUUGUCCCUCCUAACGGUCGGAUUUGGGAUUCAGACAUGAAGAAGUUCAACGGACGCACGCAGCGGUUUAACCGACACCGGCUUCACGUCGGUUGUCAUGACACCUGUCUGCGUGGUUACCUGCCCCGAUGCUCGCGCAGACUGAUGUCGCUCUUUGUCCGAUCCACAGACAAUGCGGUCGCGCGGCUCGGCUCGGCUCUCGGGGUGUCACGUGUGAGCUUCUGUUUACAAGCAGUCAAGACGUGCACGAGGAGCAUAAACAUCUGCACGUGGGAAAAUCCAUGACGCAAACACGCACAUAAGGUGCGUAACGGCUGGGUGCUGUACGGCAAGCCGACUGGGACAAAAGACUGGACCACACACAACUGAUGCCCAAUAAGAUGCCCAGGUAAUGGCCCUGCUUGAUCUCCCAGAAGCCCCAGUUAGACCACGGAAGGCCAUGACUGGACCAACAGCAGCCUCAACAGGACCCCUGCAGCUCUUCUUGGACCACAGAAGUCCCCAAUUGCCCAGAAAGGACCUUCAGCAAAACAUGCGAGCUCAUAGCAGCAAUCCCAGCACCAGGGGAAAGGAUCCCACUCCCCAGAAGAACCUUCAGCAACCUCACCCUUUUGUCUUGAGAAAUCACAUCAGGCUUUGCUGUAAACAUAUUUUAAAAGUAAUAAAAAAGAAGAAACACAUUUUUCACUUGAAAUCAGUUAAAGGUUCAGUGUGUAUGUUUU